rnacentral:lncRNA from 1 species
AGAAUGAGAGAAAUAGAGAUUGAGAAAUGAGAUUUGACUUUUGAGUUUUGAGUGAAGAAAUGAAGAAGAGGGGGGUAUUUAUAGAUUUAAAAAAGAUUAAUUUUGUAAAUUCAAAAAGGGUUAAAAACUUAAAAUUAAAAAAAAGGCUAUUUGAUCAAUUUGAUCCGUUGGCUAACGGAUCAAUUGCAAUAUCUGACUAAACCAACGGAUAGUGG